rnacentral:rRNA from 1 species
UACGAAGGGGGCUAGCGUUGUUCGGAAUUACUGGGCGUAAAGCGCGCGUAGGCGGUGAACUUUGUCAGAGGUGAAAUCCCGAGGCUCAACUUCGGAAUUGCCUUUGAAACGGGUUCGCUUGAGUCCGAGAGAGGAUGGCGGAAUUCCUAGUGUAGAGGUGAAAUUCGUAGAUAUUAGGAAGAACACCGAUGGCGAAGGCAAUCCCCUGGGCCUGCACUGACGCUCAUGCACGAAAGCGUGGGGAGCAAACAGG